UACGGGGGGGGCAAGCGUUGUUCGGAAUCACUGGGCGUAAAGCGCACGUAGGCGGACUCUUAAGUCGGUGGUGAAAUCCUGGAGCUCAACUCCAGAACUGCCUUUGAUACUGAGGAUCUUGAGUUCGGGAGAGGUGAGUGGAACUGCGAGUGUAGAGGUGAAAUUCGUAGAUAUUCGCAAGAACACCAGUGGCGAAGGCGGCUCACUGGCCCGAUACUGACGCUGAGGCACGAAAGCGUGGGGAGCAAACAGG
rnacentral:rRNA from 1 species